AUUGAACGCUGGCGGCAUGCCUUACACAUGCAAGUCGAACGGUAACAGGUCUUCGGAUGCUGACGAGUGGCGAACGGGUGAGUAAUACAUCGGAACGUGCCCGAUCGUGGGGGAUAACGGAGCGAAAGCUUUGCUAAUACCGCAUACGAUCUACGGAUGAAAGCAGGGGACCGCAAGGCCUUGCGCGGACGGAGCGGCCGAUGGCAGAUUAGGUAGUUGGUGGGAUAAAAGCUUACCAAGCCGACGAUCUGUAGCUGGCCUGAGAGGACGACCAGCCACACUGGGACUGAGACACGGCCCAGACUCCUACGGGAGGCAGCAGUGGGGAAUUUUGGACAAUGGGCGAAAGCCUGAUCCAGCCAUGCCGCGUGCAGGAUGAAGGCCUUCGGGUUGUAAACUGCUUUUGUACGGAACGAAAAGACUCUUUCUAAUAAAGAGGGUCCAUGACGGUACCGUAAGAAUAAGCACCGGCUAACUACGU
rnacentral:rRNA from 1 species